GCAUUAAUGGGGUAGUGGUAACCUGGGUCGUUGCCAUGGGUGAUUAACCAUUGUACUCGACCCGCCGGGGGUUCGAUUCCCCCUUAAUGCA